rnacentral:rRNA from 1 species
UACGUAGGUGGCAAGCGUUGUCCGGAUUUACUGGGCGUAAAGCGCGCGCAGGCGGCUGAUUAAGUCCGAUGUGAAAUCUCCCGGCUCAACCGGGAGCGGUCAUUGGAUACUGGUCGGCUUGAGGGAGGCAGAGGAGAGUGGAAUUCCCGGUGUAGUGGUGGAAUGCGUAGAUAUCGGGAGGAACACCAGCGGCGAAGGCGGCUCUCUGGGCCUUUCCUGACGCUGAGGCGCGAAAGCGUGGGGAGCAAACCGG